AAAAUAAUACGAUGUUCAGGUGCUAGAUAGCUUAAUAGGGAAAUGAGGUAUUCCUCUGCAGCCCCCGCUACUGUAAAAGAUGACGAUUUCGUUGAUGCCACUGCUUUUUUUAAAAGUGGGAAGGUACGAAAGAGGUUGAUUCUUAGCCAGGAGACCUGCCUGUACAUGCAUGAUACU
rnacentral:ncRNA from 2 species